CGCACGGUGGCGCAGUGGGUAGCGCUGUUGCCUCACAGCAAGAAAGUCCUGGGUUCGAUUCCCCGGCUGGGCCG